UUUGUAUUUAUCUGAAUAUAAAUAUGGAAGCUGAUAUAAAAUGUCAUCUUAAACAAAAUAUUAGGGGUAUAAUUUGGAGUAGAGAAGCUAUUGAGUUUUGUCAUUCUAUAUUUUACUCUACACAGAAGUUUACUCUUGCUGAGGACUGGAUUUUUUUUUUUUUUAGGUUAAGAUAAGAUUUAUUUUCUUUCAAAUUGUUCCUGGAAGAAUCCUUCUUGAUUAGCUGUUGUCCUUUUUAUGCAAGUUGCAUAGAGGGACUUGAGAUGUCAUUGGGGCUGUCAUUAAGUAUUAAAUAGAUUAAAUGCUAGUUGUUGAUGUUAUUUCUGAGAUAGAACCCAAGCAAAUAUUUAGAUACAAGUGUUCUGAAUAUAUUAGGUAGAAAAUUCUGCUUUUGACAAACCAUAUUGUCUGGUCAGGUGAUUAAAAUUGAACUGUACCAUUAUGGGGAAGUGUGAAAAAGAUUUAAUGAUGCUGCAUUAGUUAGUGCACUCUUAGACUAAGAAUGCAGUCACACACAAACCAAUAAAUGGUAUUAGGUAACUUUCUUUUGCCUCUCAAAGCUGAUAUUUCUAAAUGGUUACAGUAAGAAUAUCAUAUGUCUUACGCUUUUAAUCAUUCCAGAACUGAUGACAAUUAGUCAGUUUUCUUGAAGAUGAAGCACAGAGGAUCAAAUAUUCAAAGACUAAAUAAAAUAACUAAAAUGCAAAAGUAUUAUCUAAAAUCUAAAAGUAAAGGAAAAUGUAAAGGACCUAUAUAUUAAUUAAAGUUAGAACACAUAAGUAGAAACCUAGAAAGCAUUUUUCUUAAAGGGAUACACAUGCAUACACAACAAACACACACACUUUUUAGAUGAUAAAGAAGAGUGAGAGGUGGUAAAGCUUCAUUCCAAUUGUGAUGGUUAACAUUGAGUGUCAACUUGAUUGGAUUAAAGGAUGCAAACUAUUGCUUCUGGUGUUUCUGUGAGGGUGUUGUCAAAGGAGAUUAACAUUUGAGUCAGUGACUGGGAAAGGCAGACCCACCCUCAAUCUGAGUGGGCACCAUCUAAUCAGCUACCAGUGUGGCCAGAAUAAAAGCAGCCAGAAGAAUGUGAAAACACUAGACUGGCUUAGCCUCCCAGCCUACGUCUUUCUCUCAUGCUGGAUGCUUCCUGCCCUCAAACAUUGGACUCUUGGGAUUUGGACUGGCUUCCUUGCUCCUCAGCUUGCAGACAGCCUACUGUGGGACCUCAGUUUGUGAACAUGACCUGAUGGGACAGCAAUGGUGUCACUGGGGGAUUGCAAGAGGAUCAGCAACUUUCUAGGGAGACUAUAACAGAUGGGAAAGACCUAGACCAUCUUCUUAUUUCACUGGGCUAUAUUAAGCAGAGACGAGGGGAGUGAAAAAAGAAUACAACCAUAAAAAAGGAUGAGUUCAUGUCUUUCGCAGGGACAUGGAUGAAGCUGGAAACCAUCAUUCUCAGCAAACUAGCACAAGAACAGAAAACCAAACACCGCAUGUUCUCAAUCAUAAGUGGGAGCUGAACAAUAAGAACACAUGGACACAGGGAGGGGAACAUCACACAUCGGGGUCUGUCAGGGGGUGGGGGGCUAGGGGAGGGAUAGCAUUAGGAGAAAUAGCUAAUGUGGAUGAUGGUUUGAUGGGAGCAGCAAACCGCCAUGGCAUGCGUAUACCUAUGUAACAAAACUGCAUGUUUGCACAUGUAUCCCAGAACUUAAAGUAUUAAAAAAAAAAAAAACAAAGAAUGGGGAAGGGGAUCAUCAUUUCUACAAAGCUGG
rnacentral:lncRNA from 1 species